GGUGAGGUGAGGGAGGAGAGAGAGAGAGACAGAGAGAAGGAGGGGGGGCGGUCACGUGCUUUUGUUGACCAGUCGUAAAUUCUCGCCGAUGACUUUGGAGAGGUAAUUCAUGCUCUGAGGUUUCUAAUGAUGAAGGGGUGGGCGGGGGAAGCUCUCUCUCUCUCUCUCAUUCUCCUCCCCCUCUCCCCCUUCUCUCUCUCUCUCUCUCUCGCUCUCUC